UCUUGGUCAUUUAGAGGAAGUAAAAGUCGUAACAAGGUUUCCGUAGGUGAACCUGCGGAAGGAUCAUUACAGAGUUCAUGCCUGAAGAAGGUAGAUCUCCCACCCUUUGCUUACCUUACCAUGUUGCUUUGGCGGGCCGCCUUGGCCACCGGCUUCGGCUGGUGAGCGCCCGUCAGAGACCCCAAACNNUGAAUUACGUGUCGUCUGAGCACUAUACAAUAGUUAAAACUUUCAACAACGGAUCUCUUGGUUCUGGCAUCGAUGAAGAACGCAGCGAAAUGCGAUAAGUAAUGUGAAUUGCAGAAUUCAGUGAAUCAUCGAAUCUUUGAACGCACAUUGCGCCCCUUGGUAUUCCGAGGGGCAUGCCUAUUCGAGCGUCAUUAUACAACCCUCACGCACNNNCGUGGUGUUGGGGCCGGUCCGUGGACCCCCCCUAAAAUUAGUGGCGGCGCCUGUCGGCUCUACGCGUAGUAAUUCUUCUCGCGACGGAGCCCGGCGGGAGGCUGGCCAGCAACCCCCCAUUCCAUGGUUGACCUCGGAUUAGGUAGGGAUACCCGCUGAACUUAAGCAUAUCAAUAAGCGGAGGAA
rnacentral:rRNA from 1 species